GACGAACGCUGGCGGCGUGCUUAACACAUGCAAGUCGAAUGGAAAGGCCCUGCUUUUGUGGGGUGCUCGAGUGGCGAACGGGUGAGUAACACGUGAGUAACCUGCCCUUGACUUUGGGGUAACUUCAGGAAACUGGGGCUAAUACCGGAUAGGAGCUCCUGCUGCAUGGUGGGGGUUGGAAAGUUUCGGCGGUUGGGGAUGGACUCGCGGCUUAUCAGCUUGUUGGUGGGGUAGUGGCUUACCAAGGCUUUGACAGGUAGCCGGCCUGAGAGGGUGACCGGCCACAUUGGGACUGAGAUACGGCCCAGACUCCUACGGGAGGCAGCAGUGGGGAAUAUUGCACAAUGGGCGGAAGCCUGAUGCAGCAACGCCGCGUGCGGGAUGACGGCCUUCGGGUUGUAAACCGCUUUCGCCUGUGACGAAGCGUGAGUGACGGUAAUGGGUAAAGAAGCACCGGCUAACUACGUG
rnacentral:rRNA from 1 species